rnacentral:rRNA from 1 species
UACAUAGGUCCCGAGCGUUGUCCGGAUUUAUUGGGCGUAAAGCGAGCGCAGGUGGUUUAUUAAGUCUGGUGUAAAAGGCAGUGGCUCAACCAUUGUAUGCAUUGGAAACUGGUAGACUUGAGUGCAGGAGAGGAGAGUGGAAUUCCAUGUGUAGCGGUGAAAUGCGUAGAUAUAUGGAGGAACACCGGUGGCGAAAGCGGCUCUCUGGCCUGUAACUGACACUGAGGCUCGAAGGCGUGGGGAGCAAACAGG